GGAAUAUUGCACAAUGGGCGCAAGCCUGAUGCAGCCAUGCCGCGUGUAUGAAGAAGGCCUUCGGGGUGUAAAGUACUUUCAGCGGGGAGGAAGGCGAUGUGGUUAAUAACCGCGUCGACUGACGUUACCCGCAGAAGAAGCACCCGCUAACUCUGUGCCAGCAGCCGCGGUAAUACGGAGGGUGCAAGCGUUAAUCGGAAUUACUGGGCGUAAAACGCACGCAGGCGGUCUGUCAAGUCGGAUGUGAAAUCCCCGGGCUCAACCUGGGAACUGCAUUCGAAACUGGCAGGCUAGAGUCUUGUAGAGGGGGGUAGAAUUCCAGGUGUAGCGGUGAAAUGCGUAGAGGUCUGGAGGAAUACCGGUGGCGAAGGCGGCCCCCUGGACGAAGACUGACGCUCAGGUGCGAAAGCGUGGGGAGCA
rnacentral:rRNA from 1 species